CGGGAUGGAAGCUACCACUACACUUGCAAAGAUGCAGGCGAGUGUGCAGAGAGAGUCGCCCCGGGCUGACGAGGCGAGACAUGUGGAGAAGGAUUGGAACUGUCAGAGACGUCAAGCACUACUAAUUAUUCGGGUGUACCCCUCCUUCCGCCUGAAUGCAGCUGGGAUAGGCUCCAGCCAAUCCCCGAGAAGGACAAGCGGUAGAAAAUGGAUGGAUGGAUGGACGCAUAAAUGCUUUGAGUCUGCCAAAAACCAGCGGAUGUACAUCAUUUUUCCUGUACACUGUAGACAAGACGAAAGAGGAAGAACAUCUUUUUUUUAUGGCUCAUUGAUCUCCUCCAUCUGACAGCUGGAUGUGCCUCACCAGUAGUGUUCCAGCGCGUGUAAACUAAAGAAAAACCCUCCACUUCCUUCUUUAAACGCUCCCUGUUGCGAUUUAGUUAGCGUGAAUACAAAUGUGCUGUCAGUUAACUUGAAAAAACCACGACUGUUGUGCUGCGUCCAAAAACCACAAAAACACAUGUCUACUCGUCCUUCCUCUUCUGCUUUCAAUUCUCGCCGCUGUAUGGCUCAAUAUCCUGUUUGACUGAGAGGAAGGGGUCUGUCUGACCUACAUGUCGCCCUAAUUGCUGCCAUCCUUUGGCUCGCCCGCCUUGACAUGUGACCUCCUCCAAACACCCUAAUUGGUCCGCGUGAUCCC